GACGAACGCUGGCGGCGUGCCUAAUACAUGCAAGUAGAACGCACAGUUUAUACCGUAGCUUGCUCCACCAUAGACUGUGAGUUGCGAACGGGUGAGUAACGCGUAGGUAACCUGCCUGGUAGCGGGGGAUAACUAUUGGAAACGAUAGCUAAUACCGCAUAAUAUUAAUUAUUGCAUGAUAAUUAAUUGAAAGGUGCAAUUGCACCACUACCAGAUGGACCUGCGUUGUAUUAGCUAGUAGGUGAGGUAACGGCUCACCUAGGCGACGAUACAUAGCCGACCUGAGAGGGUGAUCGGCCACACUGGGACGGAGACACGGCCCAGACUCCUACGGGAGGCAGCAGUAGGGAAUCUUCGGCAAUGGACGAAAGUCUGACCGAGCAACGCCGCGUGAGUGAAGAAGGUUUUCGGAUCGUAAAGCUCGGUUGUAAGAGAAGAACGGGUGUGAGAGUGGAAAGUUCACACUGUGACGGUAUCUUAACAGAAAGGGACGGCUAACUACGUG
rnacentral:rRNA from 1 species